GACGAACCGGCCAAACGUUAUUGGGAAUUAUUGGGCGUAAAGCGCGCGCAGGCGGCCUCUUAAGUCUGAUGUGAAAGCCCCCGGCUCAACCGGGGAGGGCCAUUGGAAACUGGGAGGCUUGAGUAUAGGAGAGAAGAGUGGAAUUCCACGUGUAGCGGUGAAAUGCGUAGAGAUGUGGAGGAACACCAGUGGCGAAGGCGACUCUUUGGCCUAUAACUGACGCUGAGGCGCGAAAGCGCGGGGAGCAAACAGG
rnacentral:misc_RNA from 1 species